GAAAUGCGAUAAGUAGUGUGAAUUGCAGAAUUCAGUGAAUCAUCGAAUCUUUGAAGGCACAUUGCGCCCCUCGGUAUUCCGUGGGGCAUGCCUGUUCGAGCGUCAUCUACACCCUCAAGCUCUGCUUGGUGUUGGGCGUCUGUCCCGCCUCCUUCGCGCGCGGACUCGCCCCAAAUCCACUGGCGGCGGCCCUUGCCUCCCUCUCGCGCAGCACAUUGCGCUUCUCGAGGCGCGGCGGACCGCGUCCAGCAAGCAACCGUCACACCGUCUUUGACCUCGGAUCAGGUAGGGAUACCCGCUGAACUUAAGC
rnacentral:misc_RNA from 1 species